rnacentral:rRNA from 1 species
GAUGAACGCUGGCGGCGUGCCUAAUACAUGCAAGUCGAGCGAACAGACGAGGAGCUUGCUCCUCUGACGUUAGCGGCGGACGGGUGAGUAACACGUGGAUAACCUACCUAUAAGACUGGGAUAACUUCGGGAAACCGGAGCUAAUACCGGAUAAUAUAUUGAACCGCAUGGUUCAAUAGUGAAAGACGGUUUUGCUGUCACUUAUAGAUGUAUCCGCGCCGCAUUAGCUAGUUGGUAAGGUAACGGCUUACCAAGGCGACGAUGCGUAGCCGACCUGAGAGGGUGAGCGGCCACACUGGAACUGAGACACGGUCCAGACUCCUACGGGAGGCAGCAGUAGGGAAUCUUCCGCCAUGGGCGAAAGCCUGACGGAGCAACGACGCGUGAGUGAUGAAGGUCUUCGGAUCGUAAAACUCUGUUAUUAGGGAAGAACAAAUGUGUAAGUAACUAUGCACGUCUUGACGGUACCUAAUCAGAAAGCCACGGCUAACUACGUG